AAACAGGCAAAAACGGCACGCUCCUUUGUGGAACAAACUUUCUUCAGGAAAUAAAAAACAUUGUCAUCAUUUUACAGGCAGCUUUGUCGACUGAAGAUGAAUAGACCUAGACAGACACAACGCAUUCGCGAAGAGUCUGCAGACUCCUCUGUGUGUUUGGCAGUUCUCAGGAGGAUGCUCCAGAGCAUUUUCGCCUGUAGAGUCUGUGCAGGUAUUGUUAGACCCCCAGUGGAGGAGACUGAAGCAGCAGGACCCCAAAGCUCAGUGCGUCCCUUCUUCUCUGAAACACCUCCACCGUCAUAACAGCAGCAUCAGCACCAGAGCCGUUUUAUUCGCCAUAUAUAUUUACAUGUGUUGGGAAUUUUUCUUGGUGUUCGGUCACAACACAAUACAUUCAACACAGUUUGCAACACACACAUCACAGACAAGACAGCAUACAACACAAUUGCCAUCCUAAUAUCCAAAUAUUGCACCGUAAGCAGACAUUUGGAAGUUUCAGUUGUCAGUUAUAGAUGUAGAUGUAGAUGUAGAUGUAGAUGUAGAUGUAGAUGUAGCUGUAGAUGUAGCUGUAGAUACAGCAGCUGAAUGCAGUUCAGAGUGAUACACAGUGAUACACUAUAUCACUAUUGAGUGAUAAACAAUAAAUAGAAAUAGCAAUGAUGUAGUA